GGGCGUAUAGCUCAGUCGGCUAGAGCGCUGUGUUCACACCGCAGAGGUCACUGGUUCGAGUCCAGUUACGCCCA
rnacentral:tRNA from 1 species